GAUGAACGCUAGCGAUAGGCUUAACACAUGCAAGUCGAGGGGCAGCACGAAUUAGCAAUAGUUUGGUGGCGACCGGCGCACGGGUGCGUAACACGUAUACAACCUACCUUCAAUUGGGGGAUAACCUGGAGAAAUUCGGACUAAUAUCCCAUAGUAAACGGAAGAGGCAUCUUUUUUGUUUUAAAGAUUUAUUGAUUGGAGAUGGGUAUGCGUAGGAUUAGCUAGUUGGUAAGGUAACGGCUUACCAAGGCGACGAUCCUUAGGGGUUCUGAGAGGAAGGUCCCCCACACUGGUACUGAGACACGGACCAGACUCCUACGGGAGGCAGCAGUGAGGAAUAUUGGUCAAUGGUCGAGAGACUGAACCAGCCAAGUCGCGUGAAGGAAGACGGCUCUAUGAGUUGUAAACUUCUUUUGUACAGGAGUAAAGUGAGACACGUGUGUUUUAUUGCAAGUACUGUUACGAAUAAGCAUCGGCUAACUCCGUGCCAGCAGCCGCGGUAAUACGGAGGAUGCAAGCGUUAUCCGGAUUUAUUGGGUUUAAAGGGUGCGUAGGCGGUAUUACAGGUCAGGGGGGAAAUCUUGGUGCUUAACAUUAAAAUAGCCUUUGAAACUGUGGUACUUGAGUGUAAAAGAGGUAGGCGGAAUGUGUUGUGUAGCGGUGAAAUGCAUAGAUAUAACACAGAACCCCGAUUGCGAAGGCAGCUUACUAUCAUACAACUGACGCUGAUGCACGAAAGCGUGGGGAUCAAACAGGGAUUAGAUACCCCGGUAGUCCACGCAGUGAGACGAUGAUGACUAGCUGUUAGCGAUAUAUUGUUAGUGGCUAAGCGAAAGCGAUAAGUAAUCCACCUGGGGGAGUACGUACGCCAAAGAAAUGAAACACAUCUAAAGGGGACAGUUUGAAGCGGUGGGGGGGACCCCCGGUC
rnacentral:rRNA from 1 species